UACGGAGGGGGCGAGCGUUAUUCGGAAUUAUUGGGGGUAAAGGGCGCGUAGGCGGCCCGGUAAGUCAAAGGUGAAAUCCCUCGGCUCAACUGAGGAACUGCCUUUGAAACUGUCGGGCUUGAGGCCGGGAGGGGGUAGCGGAAUUCCCAGUGUAGCGGUGAAAUGCGUAGAUACUGGGAGGAACACCAGUGGCGAAGGCGGCUACCUGGACCGGUUCUGACGCUGAGGCGCGAAAGCGUGGGUAGCAAACAGG
rnacentral:rRNA from 1 species